rnacentral:rRNA from 1 species
UACGGAGGGAGCUAGCGUUGUUCGGAAUUACUGGGCGUAAAGGGCGCGUAGGCGGUCGUGACAAGUCACUUGUGAAAUCUCCGGGCUUAACUCGGAACGGUCAAGUGAUACUGUCGGACUAGAGUACAGAAGGGGCAACUGGAAUUCUCGGUGUAGCGGUGAAAUGCGUAGAUAUCAGGAGGAAUACCGAUGGCGAAGGCAGGUCUCUGGGCUGACACUGACGCUCAUGCACGAAAGCGUGGGGAGCAAACAGG